rnacentral:rRNA from 1 species
GACGUAGGGUGCAAGCGUUGUCCGGAUUUAUUGGGCGUAAAGAGCUCGUAGGCGGCUUGUUGCGUCGACUGUGAAAACCCGCGGCUUAACCGCGGGCUUGCAGUUGAUACGGGCAGGCUAGAGUUCGGUAGGGGAGACUGGAAUUCCUGGUGUAGCGGUGAAAUGCGUAGAUAUCAGGAGGAACACCGGUGGCGAAGGCGGGUCUCUGGGCCGAUACUGACGCUGAGGAGCGAAAGCGUGGGGAGCGAACAGG